UUCACAUUUGAUCUUGAUGUGGUGUGAAGCUUUGUUCUAAGAUAUUACCCAUGCUUGUUUAAAAUAGCACCGAUUUGGUGUAAUUUGCGGAUAGCUCAUUAAAAAAUCUGUAACAUACAGCGUAGUGGACUCUUACACGGAUAAACCGGUAACUCCACCAAUAAUAAGUGCAUCAAACAUCAAACUUUUAGGAAGAUGGCAUUUAUUAGCUUUGAACCAACUAUUAAUAAUGUAGUAAUAUGUUAUUAAGUAUAGUGAGUUCUAAUAAUUCAGUGGACCAUUGAUUAAAUUCAAUGGCAGACGCUAUUGACAGAUUAUGUAUUAGCUUGAUAGGAGGGUAGUGGCCUCCUAUGGCAUUGAUGCUAACGGAGAUCUAGAGAUUGAUUCCGGAGAGUUGACCUGAGAGAUCGUCAACACUACUAAGGUAGGCAGCAGGGACGCAAAUUGUUCACUGACGAUACGUCGAAACAGUAACCAACUGUAAUAAUUUAUUCAGGGUUUACUCUGUGAUAAAUUAUUAAUAAAAUAUUUAUUCAAACCCAUUUUGGGAAAAAGAUGGCCAUAGCUUUGCCAGCAGCAGCGGUAAUAAUGCAUCUUUGAGUUUGACAUCCAAUUAUUGCAAUUAAAACGUUCGUAGUUGGUAUUAUUAUUUCAAUUAUUAGUUCUUGUUUGACAAGUUUAAUUAUGCUAAUUUUUAAUUAGUUUUAAUGGCUAAUAACUUUCUGAAAUAACUUGUAUUAUAUUAAUUAAUAGCAAUAUUAAUUAAUAUAAUAUUUUACCAUGAGAAAAAGAGAACGCUAUAAGUGGGCUCUAAUGCUUGAAUCAUUCAGCAUGGGACAAACACAACAGGCUUACAUGUUAUAUAUAGCAAUAUAUAUAAUGUGGUAUUAUAUAAUAAUUGGAAACUUUUAUUAUAUAAUAUUUGAAUUUUGUUGGUAAGUUGGUUUUUCAUAUUCAAGUCAUGAUCGAUAAGGAUGGUUGAGGAGGUGUUUGGAUUCCACAGUUAGAGGUGAAAUUUGAUGAUCUGUGAGAGGACAAACUAAAGCGAAAGCAUUCAUCAAUUACAUUCUUUUUAAUCAAGAACGAAAGUCUGGGUAGCGAAGACGAUUAGAUACCGUUGUAGUCUAGACCAUAAACGAUGAUAUUUCAAGAUAUUAUUUAUGAAAUGUAUAUUAAAAUUUAUUUUUAAUAUAAUAAUACUAUUUCUAUUGUUCAUUUAUUAUUCAAAGGUAACUUUGAUAAUUACUCGACAAAUAAUGAAUUGUGUGGGAAACCAUUAAAAUUUCUUUGUGGAGUGUAUGUUAGCAAUGAUGAAAUUUAAAAGAAUUGACGGAAGUACCACCACCAGGAUUGGAUUAUGCGAUUCAAAUUGACUCAACGCGUGGAAUCUCACCAGUGCCGAACACCGUGAGGAAAGACAGAUUGCAGCUCUUUCUUGAUUCUGUGCUUGUUAAAUGUAGUGCAUGGCCUUUGGGAAGUGAGUGGAUUGAUUUUUCUGAUUAAUUUCGAUAACUAGCGAGACCCAAACCAUGAGGUAUUAUAAUAGCAAUAUUAUGAUACCAUUAUAUGUAAAUACAACUUGAUAAGAAAUUUUUCUUACCAGAAAGCAUUAUAAUUUAUUAUAAUGAGUUGUUCUUAGUGGGACUACUUGUGUUUUAGCAAGUGGAAGCUUUGGGCGAUAAAAGGUCCGUGAUGCUCUUAGAUGUUCUGGGCUAUACGCGUGAUACACUGAUUUAUUCAACAAGUUUUUUGUAUUAAUAGAUUUUAUUAUAUAAGUAAUUAUAUAAUACUAUUAUACCCCUGAUUCGAGAGGAUUGGGAAAUCUUUGAAAAUAAAUCGUGCUGGGGAUUGAAGAUUGUAAUUAUUCUUCAUGAACGAGGAAUUCCUAGUAAGCGCACGUCAUCAUCGUGCAUUGAAUACGUUUCUGGUCUUUGUACACACCGCCCGUCGCUGUUACCGAUUGAUUAUUUUGAUGAGUAUUGGGGAGUUUAAUAUUUAUAUUUCGGUAUUUAUAUAGAAUGAACCACUUCAAAUCACUGUAAUUAGAGGAAGCAAAAGUCGUAACAAGGUAUCGGUAGGUGAACCUGCCGAUGGAU
rnacentral:rRNA from 1 species